GAUGAACGCUGGCGGCGUGCCUAAUACAUGCAAGUCGAGCGAACGGACGAGAAGCUUGCUUUUCUGAUGUUAGCGGCGGACGGGUGAGUAACACGUGGAUAACCUACCUAUAAGACCGGGAUAACUUCGGGAAACCGGAGCUAAUACCGGAUAAUAUUUUGAACCGCAUGGUUCAAAAGUGAAAGACGGUCUUGCUGUCACUUAUAGAUGGAUCCGCGCUGCAUUAGCUAGUUGGUAAGGUAACGGCUUACCAAGGCAACGAUGCAUAGCCGACCUGAGAGGGUGAUCGGCCACACUGGAACUGAGACACGGUCCAGACUCCUACGGGAGGCAGCAGUAGGGAAUCUUCCGCAAUGGGCGAAAGCCUGACGGAGCAACGCCGCGUGAGUGAUGAAGGUCUUCGGAUCGUAAAACUCUGUUAUUAGGGAAGAACAUAUGUGUAAGUAACUGUGCACAUCUUGACGGUACCUAAUCAGAAAGCCACGGCUAACUACGUGCCAGCAGCCGCGGUAAUACGUAGGUGGCAAGCGUUAUCCGGAAUUAUUGGGCGUAAAGCGCGCGUAGGCGGUUUUUUAAGUCUGAUGUGAAAGCCCACGGCUCAACCGUGGAGGGUCAUUGGAAACUGGAAAACUUGAGUGCAGAAGAGGAAAGUGGAAUUCCAUGUGUAGCGGUGAAAUGCGCAGAGAUGUGGAGGAACACCAGUGGCGAAGGCAACUUUCUGGUCUGUAACUGACGCUGAUGUGCGAAAGCGUGGGGAUCAAACAGGAUUAGAUACCCUGGUAGUCCACGCCGUAAACGAUGAGUGCUAAGUGUUAGGGGGUUUCCGCCCCUUAGUGCUGCAGCUAACGCAUUAAGCACUCCGCCUGGGGAGUACGACCGCAAGGUUGAAACUCAAAGGAAUUGACGGGGGCCCGCACAAGCGGUGGAGCAUGUGGUUUAAUUCGAAGCAACGCGAAGAACCUUACCAAAUCUUGACAUCCUUUGACAACUCUAGAGAUAGAGCCUUCCCCUUCGGGGGACAAAGUGACAGGUGGUGCAUGGUUGUCGUCAGCUCGUGCCGUGAGAUGUUGGGUUAAGUCCCGCAACGAGCGCAACCCUUAAGCUUAGUUGCCAUCAUUAAGUUGGGCACUCUAAGUUGACUGCCGGUGACAAACCGGAGGAAGGUGGGGAUGACGUCAAAUCAUCAUGCCCCUUAUGAUUUGGGCUACACACGUGCUACAAUGGACAAUACAAAGGGCAGCGAAACCGCGAGGUCAAGCAAAUCCCAUAAAGUUGUUCUCAGUUCGGAUUGUAGUCUGCAACUCGACUACAUGAAGCUGGAAUCGCUAGUAAUCGUAGAUCAGCAUGCUACGGUGAAUACGUUCCCGGGUCU
rnacentral:rRNA from 1 species